GUCAUUUCUGCUAAAGCACGCCUGUUAUGCUCAUUUCCAUGUUCUUAUUCUUGGACUCUCUAAAGUAGCUUUGCAUGAUUCACAUACACCCUGGACAGAACUAAGAAAAAUGAAAAGCCAGUCUGUGGGAGGGCUAACACAGAAAGACAGACAAGCAUUCACACCUACGGGCAACUUAGCAUCAGCAAUUAACCUAUCCCUACUAACUGCAUGUCUUUUGACUUUGUGAGGAAGCUGGAAUACCCACAGAGAACAUGCAAGCUGCCAGAUGGUGGAUUUGAAGACAACAGCUGCUCUUCCCAUCAUUCAUCACUUUGGAGUGAAGCUCUCAAGUUUGUCUUUCUGGUGCUCUAUAACCUUCCAUUUCACUCGGAUAUCAAUCUGCCAGGUUUGCCAAAGUGAAGGCGUCCUCAGACCGAUUAAGAUGCCUUCGCCUUCGCCCGGGAGCACAGGUCCAAGCUGGCAGCGUCGGUGACGGUAGCUGCUGAACAGCAAAUACCCUUCUGUGGUACCUCGGCUAAUCCAGCGUGCACUCCUGUUGCUGGGCCACACUGAUAAAGCGCUGUCAAAGGAGCCUGUGGUCUGCUGCUGCUGCUGCUGCUAUGAUUGUCUCUAAAUCUAAUUACUAUAUCCUGUUCUGGAUCUCCCAUGUUCAGAGCCACCCCAAGAGAGGGGGGUUUGUUCAGCAGGCAGAGCUGAUUUAUAGCAGAAGAGAGCAAUUACAUUUCUGUUUAGUUACAGAUCACAGAGGCCUUGCUUCCUUCAGUUUUAAUGCAAACGGCGCUGUCACUGCACCGGGGUUGUUGUGUGAAAUAUCAGCUGGAGCUCUUUUCAUAUUUUUAUCCGUCAGCUUAGAGGCUUAUAGGUUUCGUUCUGACUUUGCUGGGAGGGAUGCACUAACACUACCCACCAUGUUUCCCUCCAGUUGUUUUUUGUACAAUAAAGAGGGAGGCUUGUUUAUUCCUGUAUACGCAGCAGCAGAUCUGAUGACACGCUGCUGUUGUUCCUCGGCGACAGGUGAAACGCAGCCUGCAAAAACACUGAGAGCAGAAAGGUGAUGUAAUGUGUUUUUAUGGGCGGCUGCGGUCCUUUUAAUGAUAGGGACGCCACAGACAGACUCCGGGAUGUGUGCUGCAAUUAGGAGUUGGUAGCUAAGCUGCUUCUGUUAUAGCAGCACUGUACAAAUGAGGGAGAACAGAGGCCACCCAAGCUUUUUUUGUUUGCAACCUCUUACAGUGUAAGUUGUACA